CAGUGAUAUAUUCAGCUGAAUGCUAUACCACCCAUGCAUUGGAUAGUGAUCAAGAGAUGCUCCAUGCAUUGUCAUCCAUAUGCUGGUGGAGCAGAAGUAUCAGAGCAUGAGGAUCUAACAUUGUAUCGGAAUUGGAUUGCAGUGCAAGUGUUACAAGCACAGCGAGCAUUAUUAUAAUACAGCCGCAGUAAAGUGUGCUGGGUAGUGUGUCUUUUCGGAAGUAAGGGCUCCACCCGUCAAUCAUCUGCAAGCUCCAUGUCGAGACAAGAGUUAGCUGUAUGAGUGAGUGUGUGUGGAGCAUUCUUCCGGGAAGGCAACCUAUCCAGCAGGCCUUACUGACACAAGGCUUCUGCGGCAGGACACAGAGAGGGAAGUCUCUUUGAUAUUCAAUGGAGGAAAAAUAACAGACUCUUGCAGGAAGAAGACGACUAAAAUAGCAAGGAAAUAAUGAGGAGAAGGAAUACUGCAACUACAGGUGCACAUGUGCGUGUGGUUUGCUUCAUGCACUAGGAAUCAGGUGAGAUUUUGUUACGGGUUCUUCACUUUACUUGUUUUGUUCCUACCAGUGAGUGUAGAGUAGCCGAUUCACUUCCAUCACUAGUUACACUGUCUAACCACUGUUUGCCUACAGUGUCUACACACUGUACAAUACUUCCUUUUGUUGGAGAGAUUCUCAGAAGACCUGUGUAUAGUGCCUCACUGUGUUUCCACAUUGUGAUGCACCAGGGUCCAUCCUGAAUGCAAAUCAAAGCAUAAUAAUAAUAUUAGUUAAAGGGUUCCCUAUAAUAAAGAAACGGUGUGCAGUUAGAUACAUUGUGCAUCUCCCUGUAUUCGCUAGUAAUCAGAGCAUGACUUGCAUGUAAUUCAAGGCCAUUGAACAGGUUUUGAGUUCACUCAAGUAUAGCCGCUUAGCCGUAAUGCAUUGUGUGCAUGAGCUUCUAUAUAAUUAUGAUUUUGGUUUGGCUUAAUCUUCAUAAUUGUAUCAUGCUAUUGUGCAGCUGUAUAAUUAUGCCCUUCCAUCCCACACUGUCAUACACCUUCUGGUGGGUAGAGGGUUAGGAUGCCAGGCUUCAGGCUAUAAUCUAAUUACAGACCUGCAUGAUUUAACACUGAUCUAACCAGUAGGUCAAGGUGGUGGUUGGAUCUAAUUUCUCUUAGGAAAAACCACAAUAAUUAGUGUUCUACGCAAUAGAAAAUGCUUCGUUAGUAGUGCUGAUUACAUACCCUAUAAUUUUGCAAUUAGCCAAUUAGGAAUGAUUGUUUGCACUCGGGUAAUCAAUAUCAGUGACAAAGUAAAUGCCCAAGCACCCAGAUCAAACAGUGUGUAAUCUACCACUGAGUGAUCAAUCUACUGUGUUGCAUAUAAUUAUUGUAAAUAGAAAGGAUGUAGGCAUUGUUUUAAAUAAGUAGGACCUGGGUAUUGUUAGCAGAACGAUAUUUUGUACAAAGCCACGUAGCUGUAGCUGCAUUGAAAACCCAAUGAAAUCGAAGGGAAAACACAAAUUAUAAAGUUGUCAAAUAGUGGUCAUUGAGUAUUAUAGCACACGCUAGAUAGAUCGUAUGUAGUGGCAGGAACACAGAGGUGCCUAGUGGAAACAGAAACCAUACAGAAUCAAACACCACAAAUUCUAUGGGGUGAAUCAUAAUUAUAAACACUCAACUAAAGGUAGGGACACUCGCACAGCAAUGAUUGACUGACUACACACGCUAUAAAUUGUAUUUCAGCUAGUUAUACUUUUGUCUCUCUUUUCUUUGUCGUUUUCUUUGUCGUUUUCUUUCUGGCAGCACCAUCAUUUGAUUGUCUGUCAUCAUUUGAUUGUGUGUCAGUUGUGUCUUCACCAGACAGCUGUCUCUUGACGUCCCUCAACUGAAUGGACUUGACGCAAAGCUUGCUUCACGGGUGGUACCAGGAGUUGGAAUAGAGAAUCACACACGUCAUCUCAACCUGCAUAAGAGGAGCAUUCAUGCAUGGCUAUGGGUACAUUACAUUGAUAAGUUCCUAUUGAGCUUUGCCAAAAUCAAUUAAUUUUCCACUGAAUACUCCUGCAAAGCAGGAUCCUACUAGCACCUACUGUCCUCCCACCCACGCAAUGUACCCCCUCCCUCACCUGAUCUCUGUGGGAGGUGAGCCUCUGGAGUGCACUCUGUGCUGUGGUGUGCUUCAUCCUCUUCGAGCCCUUGUGACCUGUACCCAGGAGUAUCUCGGCAGAGAAGUCGGUCCUGCCAUCCUGAAACCCAGUGAGGGAUAUGAGGUGAGGAGUAAGUUUGUAGGGCAGGAUCAUUGACCUGGAGUGUGUGUGUGUGUGUGUGUGUGUGUGUGUGUGUGUGUGUGUGUGUGUGUGUGUGUGUGUGUGUGUGUGUGUGUGUGUGUGUGUGUGUGUGAGUGUGUGUGUGUGUGUGUGUGUGCGUUAAUUGUGUGUGUUGUUUGUUUAGAGCAUAAUGCUUUCAAGAAAUUAUGGGAAGUAAUUCUAUACACAUUUACUGGCUCAGGCCAUCGUGCACUUAUUCAUGUUUUAUGAAAACAAUAGAUGUACCAAGAGAAGAUAUUGUGUGCACAAACUGGUAAUAAUGGAAUGCUGGUUCACUACAGUGAAAAGGUCACUCUAUGAGCAGGUCACCCUCUAAAGAACAGCUAGUCUCCUAUACAGCAACUGUUACAUAAUUGCAGAUGUUUUUGUGGUCUAGUUAUUGUUAUUACCAGCCUACAGAGAAGGGUGGCUACCACAAACAAUAGACAAGUUCCACUGUAUAUAGUUAUUAUGAAUGCCUACGUGAGUGGGUACUUGUAUUAUGCUUAUGUUUAUUAUGUUUAUUAAUUAGUUUG